rnacentral:rRNA from 1 species
UACGUAGGGUGCAAGCGUUGUCCGGAAUUAUUGGGCGUAAAGAGCUCGUAGGCGGCCUGUCGCGUCGGCUGUGAAAACUCAGGGCUCAACCCUGAGCCUGCAGUCGAUACGGGCAGACUAGAGUACUGCAGGGGAGACUGGAAUUCCUGGUGUAGCGGUGGAAUGCGCAGAUAUCAGGAGGAACACCGGUGGCGAAGGCGGGUCUCUGGGCAGGUAACUGACGCUGGAGGAGCGAAAGC